rnacentral:rRNA from 1 species
AGGACGAACGCUGGCGGCGUGCUUAACACAUGCAAGUCGAACGAUGAAGCCUUCGGGUGGAUUAGUGGCGAACGGGUGAGUAACACGUGGGAAAUCUGCCCUGCACUCUGGGACAAGCCUUGGAAACGAGGUCUAAUACCGGAUAUGACCUGUCCUCGCAUGGGGACGGGUGGAAAGCUCCGGCGGUGCAGGAUGAUCCCGCGGCCUAUCAGCUUGUUGGUGGGGUAAUGGCCUACCAAGGCGACGACGGGUAGCCGGCCUGAGAGGGCGACCGGCCACACUGGGACUGAGACACGGCCCAGACUCCUACGGGAGGCAGCAGUGGGGAAUAUUGCACAAUGGGCGAAAGCCUGAUGCAGCGACGCCGCGUGAGGGAUGAAGGCCUUCGGGUCGUAAACCUCUUUCAGCAGGGAAGAGCGCAAGUGACGGUACCUGCAGAAGAAGCACCGGCUAACUACGCGCCAGCAGCCGCGGU